UACGUAGGGGGCGAGCGUUGUCCGGAUUUAUUGGGCGUAAAGAGCUCGUAGGCGGCUGUUCGAGUCGGGUGUGAAAUCCUGAGGCUUAACCUUGGGUCUGCAUUCGAUACUGGGCGGCUUGAGUCUGGUAGGGGGAUCUGGAAUUCCUGGUGUAGCGGUGGAAUGCGCAGAUAUCAGGAGGAACACCGGUGGCGAAGGCGGGUCUCUGGGCCGUAACUGACGCUGAGGAGCGAAAGCGUGGGGAGCGAACAGG
rnacentral:rRNA from 1 species